rnacentral:rRNA from 1 species
UGAUAAGUUUAAAGGCCGCAGUAUUUUAACUGUGCAAAGGUAGCAUAAUCAUUAGUUUUUUAAUUGAAGGCUUGUAUGAAUGAUUGGACGAGAUAUAAUCUGUCUCUAAUAAAUUUUUAGAAUUUUAUUUUUUAGUUAAAAAGCUAAAAUAAUUUUAAAAGACGAGAAGACCCUAUAGAUCUUUAUAUAAAAAUUUUUAUUUUUUUAUUAGAUUAUUUUUAAUAAUAAAAUUUAUUAUAUUUUAUUGGGGUGAUAUUGAAAUUAAAUUAACUUUCAAAAAUUAAUAAAACAGUGAUUUUUGAAUUAUUGAUCCUUUAUUAUUGAUUAAAAAUUUAAGUUACCUUAGGGAUAACAGCGUAAUUAUUUUGGAGAGUUCUUAUCGAUAAAAUAGAUUGCGACCUCGAUGUUGGAUUAAGAUUAAUUCUAGGCGUAGCAGUUUAGAAUAUUAAGUCUGUUCGACUUUUAAUUUCUUACAUGA